ACUACGGGGGGCAGCAGUCGAGAAUCAUUCACAAUGGGGGAAACCCUGAUGGGGCGACGCCGCGUGGGGGAAUGAAGGUCUGCGGAUUGUAAACCCCUGUCAUGUGGGAGCAAAUGAAAAAGAUAGUACCACAAGAGGAAGAGACGGCUAACUCUGUGCCAGCAGCCGCGGUAAUACAGAGGUCUCAAGCGUUGUUCGGAAUCACUGGGCGUAAAGCGUGCGUAGGCGGUUUCGUAAGUCGUGUGUGAAAGGCGCGGGCUCAACCCGCGGACGGCCCAUGAUACUGUGAGACUAGAGUAACGGAGGGGGAACCGGAAUUCCCGGUGUAGCGGUGAAAUGCGUAGAUAUCGGGAAGAACACUCGUGGCGAAGGCGGGUUCCUGGACAUUAACUGACGCUGAGGCGCGAAGGCCAGGGGAGCGAACAGGAUUAGAUACCCCAGUAGUC
rnacentral:rRNA from 1 species